CUUCCUGUUAUAUAUGUUUCAAUCGUUCAAUUUUGUACAUCAUUGUUAUUUCACCGUGGGCCUUUUUAUGCUUAGUACUUUAAUUGCUUUAUAUACUAAUUCGGGUUCAGGAAAAAAUCAUUCAGUUUUUAAUGUAAGGCAACAUUGUUUUACCGAUGUUCCAAUAUUCUAAAUAGUUAUAGUAGACAAUUACAGUGACUUGACU
rnacentral:lncRNA from 1 species